rnacentral:rRNA from 1 species
GAUGAACGCUGGCGGCGUGCUUAACACAUGCAAGUCGAACGGGAAACCUUUUAAUGAAGCUUCGGCAGAUUUAGCUGGUUUCUAGUGGCGGACGGGUGAGUAACGCGUGGGUAACCUGCCUUAUACAGGGGGAUAACAGUCAGAAAUGACUGCUAAUACCGCAUAAGCGCACAGGACCGCAUGGUCCGGUGGGAAAAACUCCGGUGGUAUAAGAUGGACCCGCGUUGGAUUAGCUUGUUGGUGGGGUAACGGCUCACCAAGGCGACGAUCCAUAGCCGGCCUGGGAGGGUGAACGGCCACAUUGGGACUGAGACACGGCCCAGACUCCUACGGGAGGCAGCAGUGGGGAAUAUUGCACAAUGGGGGAAAACCUGAUGCAGCGACGCCGCGUGAAGGAAGAAGUAUCUCGGUAUGUAAACUUCUAUCAGCAGGGAAGAUAGUGACGGUACCUGACGAAGAAGCCCCGGCUAACUACGUG